rnacentral:rRNA from 1 species
UACGAAGGGGGCUAGCGUUGCUCGGAAUUACUGGGCGUAAAGGGCGCGUAGGCGGAUAUUUAAGUUGGGGGUGAAAUCCCGGGGCUCAACCUCGGAAUUGCCUUCAAAACUGGAUAUCUUGAGUUCGGGAGAGGUGAGUGGAACUCCGAGUGUAGAGGUGAAAUUCGUAGAUAUUCGGAAGAACACCAGUGGCGAAGGCGGCGCUCUGGACCGAGACUGACGCUGAGGCGCGAAAGCGUGGGGAGCAAACAGG